UGUGUGUGUCAGGUCUGGCAGCUUCCUCUGCAGUGAUCAGCCCUAUUCUGUCUCCAGUCUCUGCUAAACUGAAGAGCAGUGUGCCGGCUAUCUCUAAACCACAGGAAGAAAUUGAGGCCAGAGCAGAAAUGGAGUCUGAUAAGAAGCUGGAAAAGCUAGAGAUGUUUUUGGGGCGUUUGAACAGUAAAGUAUCAGGUUUGCAGGAGACGACUUUGACA